CACCGCGGUCAUACAGGAGGCUCAAAUUAACUUUAUAACGGCGUAAAGAGUGGUCACAUGUUAUCCAAGUAGCUAAGAUUAAAAAGCAACUGAGCUGUCAUAAGCCCAAGAUGCCCAUAAGGCCUCCGUCUUCAAAGAAGAUCUUAGAACAACGAUCAAUUGAAUCCACGAAAGCCAGGACC
rnacentral:rRNA from 1 species